CCACGCUCAGGGUCCCAGCGGGGACUCCGCCCUGGGUCACAGCAGCCCUUCCCAGGCGGGGGCGUCUGGGCACUGGGGGGGGGCAUUGUUUUUCUUCCUCCGUGAACAUUGCCAGCCCAACUGAUAACACACUGCAAUCUAGUUCUCUGUGUGUAUGUGUGUGCAUAAAAAUAAAAAUAAAGUAAAAAUGAAAAUACAAGGAUCUCAUUAGUAAAACAGAAUUACAGUAAACUGAGCCUGAGUAAAUCUUGACUAAGCAAAACCAACUACGAGAAGUGCCCCAAACACUGCGGAAGCCGGAGCCCUGCGUGACUGAAAGUGGAGCGUUUCUUCCAAAGGCUUCCUUUAGAGGAAAGCGAAACUGAGCCGGGCCCACCUCACCCGCCGGCCCGGGGAAGCGCUCAGCGAAGCCGCCUUCCCCAGACAGAUGCAGCUCCCAAGUCCAGCCGAUCGCCGGCUUCUUCAUCCUGCUUUCUCUCUUGCCCCAUGAACACCGGCCUGGACAAUUUUCGUGCGAGUAUCCCACCUCUGCUGGUGGGCUUCGCACAAUUCACACGUUGGCUUUACUCACAGGAGCUCCACGUUUCCUUUGCGCUGAAGGACUCACCGGCUGAUCUCUGAUAGCAGACAAAGCCCGAAGGGGACAGCAGACGCCCUCCCGCACAGCCGGCUGCGGCCUCAGGAUGAACGCAGUGAGUGCCUCAAGCCCUGCGGGAAAUCUGCCCCUGCCGACCGGCCCAGGGCUGCUGGAGGACCAAGCACCGGCUUUGGUUUUUCACGAACUGCUUGAAAACUCUCCUUUUACACCGGUGUCCACUGUGGUGGGCGGCGAUGGGGGCUUUGCAGAGCCCGGGUCUCGUUCCGUGUGCACAGCGCUGGGGACAGGCGGGGCUGGGGGUGCGGCUGGUUCCUCCAGAGUCUGAGCCCCAGGCCCUGCCCGCCGGGCGCACUUCCCAGCCGGGCGCCCCCACCCCGUCAGCGUCAGCGUCAGCGUCAGCGUCAGCGGAGCUUCUCCCCAGCGCAGACGCCUGCUCCCCCCCAUCUCAAAAGAAGCCUGUAGUGUACCUUUUCAGAUUCCUGGUGGGAGGCAUAGCUCUCGUCCUAGUUACCCUUUGGCAGGGGAGAAGAUCUGCUUCAGGAGCCCCAGCUAACACUGACCCCCAACAUGACUGUGCCAGACACCAGAGGCAUCCUGGCCACAGGCAAGGCCCCAACGGACCUCCCAAGGCCCAUAAGCAAAGCUAAGGGUUCUACGAGCAGCUUUCCCUGGAGCCACGCAGAGUCCUCCCCAUCCAGGUUCCAAACGGCUCUCCCACCGCUGGCUUCCUGGACCUCCACCUCAGCUCAGCCUGGGCAGUCCUGCUGCUCCUCUCCCGAAGAGAAGAUGGGGGCCCACAGAGACCGCCGGCGAGAUCCCCUGGUCCUGUGCUGUGUGUGGCUCCCACUCACCACCUUGUGCGCUUCCCUGCCCUUGAGUCCUGGAGACACAAAUACAUGCAGCUAAUCACCUCUUUUUAGUCACUCGUUCACUUGACAAUAGUGCAUCGAUACAUACUUAUGGAGCAUUUGUUUGACGCAUUCGGUCUUCUACCAUGGCAGGACCUGGGGAACGCUGUAAACGUGACUUUGUCCUGGACCUCAAGGACCUUCCGGCCUCCCGAGAGCUUCAGCAGGUGUAUUCACCAGUUUUCCUCACUCUUACAAAACACCCAACGCAGGCCAUUCAUGCAGAAAGAGGUUUAUGCCACUCAGUUUGGGAGCUUCAAAGCCGUGGUACCUCCAUUGGCUGAUACAGUAUAAAAAGUUGAGUGAAAGUUUGGGUUGCAGUUAAGGGGAAGGGGAAGGAUAGGAGGGAAAAUAAAACAUGUUACUGCAUGCGUGAAUGUGAUGAAACAAACUCAUUAUUCUGUAUCAUUAAAAUGCACUUGUAAAUUUUUUAAUUUGUGGGUGGAGUUUGAGAGUCCAUGCUGCAAAUAUAAAGAACCGAGCCCUGGAAUCUGUGCGUUGUGCUUCUCAGUAAAGAUGAGGGGCUGUUUGGGCAGUGGUGAGUGGUGAUUUUGGUGAUCCAAACUGGGGACACAGGGCGGUGCCCCUGAGCCUCAGCGGGCAGCUGUUAAGCGUUUGCAGCACACUGCUGGACCCUGCGAUGUUCUGCAGCGUAGGGAACCACGGCAGCACGCACGGGCGCCUCCUGGAUCAUCCUGCUCACAGACACAGAAGGAAGCCUGGUGAUUUCGGGGCUUUCCUGGGGAGUCAAUGUGGAUGGGGCAGUUUCGGUCCAGGCAGGCAGUUGCACAGAUUUGAGGUGGGGAACUGUACACUUGAAAACGG
rnacentral:lncRNA from 1 species